CGCCCCACCCUGGGCGCACGAGGUCUUCAGAGCGGCUGCGCGGCUCUCCCGAGCGCGUACGGCUGCUACUGCGCCUGCGCGAACGCGCACGCCCUCCUAGGGCUGCUCCCUCCAGUCCAGCUCCUUUGGGACGUGCGUGCCGCCGGCGUCUUGUGAUCGAUGGAACCUGAGUUCGAGCCCUGGUCAACUCUGCCAUUUCCUGUCCAGACUGAUCCCUGGGACCAAGUAUUGGAGAAAAAGGCAAGUCUGCAAUUUACUAAAGCUGUGGACAUCACUUAACAGGGUUCUCUGGCCCUCCAGCUAUGAUCACACAAGAUCAGAAGCAUUCAACGUCUCAGUCACCACCACCCACAGGUACCGGAGCCUCGGGACAGCCACGCACUUUCUCAGGCUCUCAUGGCUAACGUGGGGCUACAGUGCAUCUAGAAGAGAAACUCCAGAUGGAGACACAUGGAUUAACGACACACGACCGCACUGUGUACCGCAAAGAAACCCAGAAAAAGUGUGGGAUGUGCAUAGAAAGUGAGUCAGAUACAGCUCUUAAAACCGAGGGAGCUCAUGCUUUAAUAGACACUGAAAUCACAAAGGAAGGCCAAGUGCCUUAGCAGUCUCAAUAAAAAUAUGAAGUUCUUUUUACAUGGUAAAUUUCGUAAUAUAAAAAGUUUAAUGCCAUCUGGAAACUGUGUAAUUUACAAAAAAAAGUCCACAUAGGCCAAAGAUGGCUAACACUGCAUACAAGGGGCGUGAGUGCCAAGUGGGACGGCGUCUGAGGACGGGAGAAGUGACCGCGUGUGUCCUUACAUGGAACGUCGUUGAAGGAUCUGGCACAAAUAAGGGCCCAGUUCACAAACCACAUGUACAAUCAUUUUAGAUAAAACAAUAAAACGUGAUGAAAAUUA